UUCAAAAUUUCCAAUUUUUUUUUGUUUUUUUCUUAAUCUCAGGUCACUAAGGCUUAAUCUCGAGUCAAUAUGCUUAAUCUCAGGUCAAAUCGCACUCCAUGGUCAAACUUCCCGAAAGGUCACCCAUCCUCACACUACUCCAACCCAAGCACGCUUAACUUCAGAGUUCUAUCCAACCCCAGCAACAACUCACUUCACAAGCACUUGUUGAUAUAUCUAGCAUAUCAAUCCUAUUAUACCUUGUUGAUGUCUAGGACUUUGUUCAUGUUCAUGACUAUGAUGAAAAUUUUGAAAAAUAUUUCAAACUUCCGGGUCAUAUUACAUAUCAUUUUUUGAAAAAAAAAAUAAAAAACCAAAUUUUUUUUGAAAUUUUUUUGCCUCUAGAUCUUGAAAGCCCCGUAACUUUUUUUCUGUUAGGUUUUUGGGGAUUUUGAAAAUGUUUAACGGGGUUCCCCCGGUUAAAUUCGGAUGUAACUUUUCGAGUAGAUGAUUUUUCAUAUAUAAAACUUUUUAAUCCGAGUUCGUAUGCAAAAGUUAUGCCCAUUUUACAAAUUUUCAGAGAGAUUUUACAAAUAAAGUCGAAAUUUAUAUUUGUAAAUUUUCCCAACAACUAGACCACAUAUCACAUGGGAAACUUAUUUUCUUUUAUUUUUUUGACAUUUUAUCAUUUUUUUAAUUUUUUUUAAAACUGAAAAGGCG
rnacentral:lncRNA from 1 species